GGGUGAGGUGUGUGUAUGUGUGGGGGUGAGGUGUGUGUAUGUGUGGGGGUGAGGUGUGUGUAUGUGUAGGGUGAGUUGUGUGUAUGUGUAGGGUGAGGUGUGUGUAUGUGUGGGGUGAGGUGUGUGUAUGUGUGGGGUGAGGUGUGUGUAUGUGUGGGGUGAGGUGUGUGUAUGUGUAGGGUGAGUUGUGUGUAUGUGUAGGGUGAGGUGUGUGUAUGUGUGGGGUGAGAUGUGUGUAUGUGUGGGGUGAGGUGAGGUGUG